rnacentral:rRNA from 1 species
AUGGUCAGUGCCAAGAGACUUUCUCAAAUGAUAAGGAAGUGGCAAAGAGUGGCGGCCAUCGGGAGGAAGAGGCUCAUGUGGUCAGCAAAAGAAGUCGAUGAGUGCUGCACGUCUGUGGCAGUGAAGGGCCACUGCGCCAUGUACACUGCUGACGGGAGGCGGUUUGAGGUGCCAUUGGCGUACCUCGGCACGACGAUCCUCGGGGAGCUCCUGAGGAUGUCUCAGGAUGAGUUUGGCUUCACAAGCAAUGGAAGGAUAACCCUGCCUUGUGAUGCAGGUGUGAUGGACUAUGUCAUGUGCUUGAUCAGAAGGAACGCAUCAGAAGAGGUAGAGAGAGCUUUCUUGAGCUCUGUGGUGAGACCUUGUAACUAUGGAAAUGGUUUGGAGCCAUCUAUGGGAGUUAGCCAGCAAGUAGCUGUUUCUGGCUUCUGA